GAUGAACGCUAGCGAUAGGCUUAACACAUGCAAGUCGAGGGGCAGCACGGGAGAUCGGCAACGUGAUCCCGGUGGCGACCGGCGCACGGGUGAGUAACACGUAUGCAACCUACCCCUGACCGGGGGAUAACCCAGGGAAAUCCGGGCUAAUACCCCAUGAGGCGUUGAACCCGCAUGAGUUCAACGUCAAAGGUUCACCGGUUCGGGAUGGGCAUGCGUUCCAUUAGCUGGUUGGCGGGGUAACGGCCCACCAAGGCAACGAUGGAUAGGGGAACUGAGAGGUUCACUCCCCCACACUGGAACUGAGACACGGUCCAGACUCCUACGGGAGGCAGCAGUGAGGAAUCUUGGUCAAUGGAGGCAACUCUGAACCAGCCACGUCGCGUGAAGGACGAAGGCCUUACGGGUCGUAAACUUCUUUUCGGGGGAAUAAACGGGGUCACGGGUGGCCCCUUGCAUGUACCCCGCGAACAAGGAUCGGCUAACUCCGUG
rnacentral:rRNA from 1 species